rnacentral:rRNA from 1 species
GACGAACGCUGGCGGCGUGCCUAAUACAUGCAAGUAGAACGCGGAAGGAGGAGCUUGCUUCUCUGGAUGAGUUGCGAACGGGUGAGUAACGCGUAGGUAACCUGCCUGGUAGCGGGGGAUAACUAUUGGAAACGAUAGCUAAUACCGCAUAAGAGUAGAUGUCGCAUGACAUUUGCUUAAAAGGUGCAAUUGCAUCACUACCAGAUGGUCCUGCGUUGUAUUAGCUAGUUGGUGAGGUAACGGCUCACCAAGGCAACGAUACAUAGCCGACCUGAGAGGGUGCUCGGCCAAGCUGGGACUGAGACACGGCCCAGACUCCUGCGGGAGGCAGCAGUCGGGGAUCUUCGGCAAUGGCCGGAAGUCUGACCGAGCAACGCCGCGGGAGUGCAGAAGGUUUUCGGAUCGUAAAGCUCGGUUGUAAGAGAAGGACGAGUGUGAGAGUGGAAAGUUCACACUGUGACGGUAUCUUACCAGAAAGGGACGGCUAACUACGUG